UGUGUAGGCGGGCUGGCGUGUCGAUGGUGAAAGCUCCCGGCUUAACCGGGAAAGUGCUGUCGAAACUACCAGUCUCGAGGGCGGAAGAGGAAACUGGAACUUCUGGUGUAGCGGUAAAAUGCGUAGAUAUCAGAAGGAACGCCGAUAGCGAAGGCAGGUUUCUGGGACGUUCCUGACGCUGAAACACGAAAGCUAGGGGAGCAAACAGGAUUAGAUACCCUGGUAGUCCUAGCUGUAAACGAUGUACAUUAGGCGUGGGGAGUUUUCCCCGUGCCGGAGCCAACGCGUUAAAUGUACCGCCUGGGGACUACGGCCGCAAGGUUGAA
rnacentral:rRNA from 1 species